CUCAUGAGAUCUAAUGGUUUUAUAAGCGUUUGGCAAGUUCCUGUUUUGUUCAUUUGCUCUCUCUUGCCUGUAGUCAUGGAAGACGUGACUCUUCCCCUUCCGCCAUGAUUGUCACUUUCCUGAGGCCUCCACAGCCAUGGAAAACUAUUGUUUGCUGUUAAUGUAUAGAAAAACUGCUGACAGGCCAUAUGAAUAAUGAGAUUGUAGGAGUAAUAAAAGUCUUCCACCAAAGAAAAGCCCAGGACCUAGUGGAAUCACUGCUAACUUUUGCCUAAUAUGUAAAGAACUAAUACCAGUUUUACUCAAACUAUUUAAAAAAAUUUAAGAGGAGAUAAUACUUCCAAACCUACUCUAUGAGGCAAGUAUGACUCUGAUACUAAAACUAGACAAAGAUAGAAAAAAAAAAAAACUACAGGCCAAUAUCUCUGAUGAACAUAGAUUCAAAAAUUCUCAACAAAAUGUUAGCAAAUAGAAUUAAACAACACAUUAAAGAGAUCAUUCAUCUUAAUCAAGUGGGAUUCCUCCUCAGGAUGCAAGGAUGGUUUAACAAUCAGUAAA